ensembl:lncRNA
AGUUCUAUCACUAGUCACACGAGAGAAGAGGCCGACCCCCAGCUCACUACAACCUCCCUUCAGGUAGUUAUAGAGAGUCUUAGGAGACUAUAGUUAUACUAUACAGUUAUAGUUUGUCUUAGGAGACAAACCAGAGAGAGGGAAGUUCAGGUUUGAGCAGAAAAGCUGCUGGGUCAAGGAUGGAGGUGCUGGCCAGGAUCCCAGAGGAGGCUGCUCUGUGCUCUUAAGUGCUUGACAAGAGGCAACAGGCUCAAAGUGAAACACAGGAAGUUCCAUCUGCAUGUGAGAAAUAACUUCUUCAUUGUGAAGGUUACAAAGCACUGGAACAAGCUUUCCAGAGAGGCUGUGGAGUCUCCUUCUCCGGAGAUAUUCAAAACCUGCCUGGAUGUGACCCUGGGUAAUGUGAUCUAGGUGAUCCUGCUUGAAGUAAGCAGGUUCGACUAGAUGAUUCUCUUCUAACCUCAACCAAUCUGUGAUUCUGUGACUUCAUCUUCUGCUUUUUCUAAUUACAACUGUCAUAAGCAAAAGCUAGGAAAUUUGGCAGCUCUUUUAUAAGCUUACCCUGAAAUUUAUUUCCUGUAAUUUGUGUUUAGUGUUCAAUAACAAAUCUACCUUUCUUAUUGCUUCUCUUAUGGAGAAAUAAAAGUAUACACUUGUGUUCUUACUUUCUUAUAGACAAGAGCCUGCUAGAGAUUGGAGUGUUGCUCAGAAGCUUAUUUUGUGUUGUUCUUUUAUUCCUUACCCAUAGCAUUUAGAAGAAUGAGAGAAUGCAACUCAUCUAUAGCAAAAAUUGUACGGAUGAUGUUUCUAGUGUUAAAAAUCUUAACAAAGAUGCAUUUCUCAACAAUCAUUUUGUAACAUCAGUUAUCAAAUACUGAAGAUCCUGUCAAAGCACUUGACCUCAAUAUAACUCAUUAUGUAGGCUUCAAUAGUUGUACAUGUGAACACACAUAACACAUUUCAUUCUUUGCCAUGCUUUAUGCUACAAUAGGGUGAAAGAGUGCAAAGCAAAUCUAGAAUAAAAAAAUCAAACACAUUAAUUAUAUCAGAUCAGAUAUACACUGAUAUAAAAUUAAAAUAUCUUUAAAACUUCCAGUGCAACAAAAAUUAUUCAAGAAAAUAAAUGCAGACAAAUUCAUAACAUGGGCAAAAGUGGCUGCUGUUAAAUAGUUAAUCUAGACCAGUCUUCACACUCUUUCACAGCUUAUCCUAAAAGGAACAGAGCAUUUUAUCUUUCAGAAGCAGCAACGAAGACUGUGAUGUUAUCUUUCCAACAGUACAGUUAUGAACUGUGACAUUUAAUUUGACUUCCACAUUCAUUCCUAUGCUUAGCCUCAUGCUGAAAGAGGUCUUCAUUCAAAUUUUUAGAUAUUCUUUUGUCACUCAAUUCAACCUUUACCUUGAGGAUUUCUUUUUCCCUGCAGGAAAGUGUUUUUAUGAAAUUGGGUGAAUUGAAUGUCAUGAUCACUUCUGAAAGCAAAGAGCAUUUUAAGAUAGCUUUAUCUCUGCAAGAAAGAAUAUACGUUAACAGAAGGUAUCUUACCAAUAUGAAUACAAAUAUUUUAAUAUUGAGUAAUAAUACUAUAUGACAUUGUUUGAGAACACAAAGAUGAACAUUUGUAGCAUAUUCUAUCCUCAUCUAAACUCAGAUUUUCUAUUGAUCUCUCUAAUGAGCCUGGAUUCUCUCCUCUUCUUCACUUAGGAAAUAAUUGAUCGAUAAA